UAAACUGUAGUCUUUUAAAUGUAUUGGU
rnacentral:piRNA from 1 species